rnacentral:rRNA from 1 species
AUUGAACGCUGGCGGCAUGCUUUACACAUGCAAGUCGAACGGCAGCGCGGGCUUCGGCCUGGCGGCGAGUGGCGAACGGGUGAGUAAUGCAUCGGAACGAGCCCAGUUGUGGGGGAUAGCCCGGCGAAAGCCGGAUUAAUACCGCAUACGACCUGAGGGUGAAAGCGGGGGACGGAAAGGCCUCGCGCUAUUGGAGCGGCCGAUGUCGGAUUAGCUAGUUGGUGGGGUAAAGGCUUACCAAGGCGACGAUCCGUAGCUGGUCUGAGAGGACGACCAGCCACACUGGAACUGAGACACGGCCCAGACUCCUACGGGAGGCAGCAGUGGGGAAUUUUGGACAAUGGGGGCAAGCCUGAUCCAGCCAUGCCGCGUGCGUGAAGAAGGCCUUCGGGUCGUAAACCGCUUUUGUUCGGGAAGAACUCCUCUGGGCUAAUACCCCGGGGGGAUGACGGUACCGGAAGAAUAAGCACCGGCUAACUACGUG